rnacentral:rRNA from 2 species
CUCUUCUUGAAUAUAAUUUGAUGUAUGGCCUGCCCACUGAAUAUUGAAGGGCCGCGGUAUUUUGACCGUGCAAAGGUAGCAUAAUCAUUAGUCUUUUAAUUGUGGACUGGAAUGAAUGGUUUGACGAGGUGUUAACUGUCUUUAAUUUUUUUUAUUGAAUUUAAAUUUUAGGUUAAAAUGCCUAAAUGUUUUUUUGGGACGAGAAGACCCUAUAGAGUUUUAUAUAUUUUUAUUUUUUUGUAUGUUAAAUUUUAAUUUAAAAAUUUAUUUUGUUGGGGUGAUGGGAAGAUUAAAUUAACUCUUUUUGUUUUUAUAUAUUUAUUUAUACAUAUUUGAUCCAUUUUUAUUGAUUAUAAGACUAAAUUACC